CCUACGGGCGGCAGCAGUGAGGAAUAUUGGUCAAUGGACGCGAGUCUGAACCAGCCAAGUAGCGUGAAGGAAGACUGCUCUACGAGUUGUAAACUUCUUUUAUAAAGGAAUAAAGUGAGAUAAGUGUGCCUUUUUGUAUGUAAUUUAUGAAUAAGGAUCGGCUAACUCCGUGCCAGCAGCCGCGGUAAUACGGAGGAUCCAAGCGUUAUCCGGAUUUAUUGGGUUUAAAGGGUGCGAAGGCGGAAUGUUAAGUGAGAGGUAAAAUUUCGGGGCUCAACUCCGACGUGCCGUUGAUACUGGUGUUCUUGAGAGAACGUGAGGGAUGCGGAAUGUGUGGUGUAGCGGUGAAAUGCUUAGAUAUCACGCAGAACACCGAUUGCGAAGGCAGCUUACC
rnacentral:rRNA from 1 species